AUGGAUCACAACCCACAAAUCAUCUGUUGGAACAUGAGAGUCUUAAACAAUCCAGCCAAGAGAAAGGUAGUUAGGGAGUUUAUUGCUUCUUUGAAAGUCAACAUUGUAUGCUUACAAGAGACCAAGUUGGAGAUUGUGGACCAGUUUUUAGCAAUGCAAUGUCUAGGGCCAUCAUUUGAUGGUUUUGCUUACUUGUCGGCGGUGGAGACGCGUGGUGGUAUCUUGCUCGGUUGGGAUUCUACAAUCAUGUUCGUCGACAACUUACAGUUUGAUGCUAACUUCUUAACCGGCAAAGUCUGUCAACUAGAUGGAAACGAGUGGUGGAUCUUGGUGGUGUAUGCCCCUAAGGAGAUGAGCUAA
rnacentral:rRNA from 1 species